rnacentral:rRNA from 1 species
UACAGAGGUCUCAAGCGUUGUUCGGAUUCAUUGGGCGUAAAGGGUGCGUAGGUGGCGCCGUAAGUCGGGUGUGAAAUUUCGGAGCUUAACUCCGAAACUGCAUUUGAUACUGCGGUGCUUGAGGACUGGAGAGGAGACUGGAAUUCACGGUGUAGCAGUGAAAUGCGUAGAUAUCGUGAGGAAGACCAGUGGCAAAGGCGGGUCUCUGGACAGUUCCUGACACUGAGG